UGUUUAUUUGCCUCGCUUUCACGUUGUCC
rnacentral:piRNA from 1 species